UACGUAGGGGGCAAGCGUUGUCCGGAAUCAUUGGGCGUAAAGAGCGUGUAGGCGGCCCGAUAAGUCCGCUGUGAAAGUCCAGGGCUCAACCCUGGGAUGCCGGUGGAUACUGUCGGGCUCGAGUCCGGAAGAGGAGUGUGGAAUUCCUGGUGCAGCGGUGAAAUGCGCAGAUAUCAGGAGGAACACCAAUGGCGAAGGCAGCACUCUGGGACGUGACUGACGCUGAGACGCGAAAGCGUGGGGAGCAAACAGG
rnacentral:rRNA from 1 species